rnacentral:rRNA from 1 species
GAUUAACGCUGGCGGCGUGCAUAACACAUGCAAGUCGAACGAUGAAACUUAACUGAUUUCUUCGGAAUGAUUUUAAGUGGAUUAGUGGCGGACGGGUGAGUAACGCGUGAGUAACCUGCCUUGGAGAAGGGGAUAGCCUUUGGAAACGAAGAAUAAUACCCUAUGAUAUGAUAAUAUCUCAUGAUAUUAUCAUCAAAGAUUUAUCGCUCUAAGAUGGACUUGCGUCUGAUUAGUUAGUUGGUGAGGUAACAGCUCACCAAGGCAGCGAUCAGUAGCCGGCUUGAGAGAGUGUACGGCCACAUUGGGACUGAGACACGGCCCAGACUCCUACGGGAGGCAGCAGUGGGGAAUUUUGCACAAUGGGGGAAACCCUGAUGCAGCGACGCCGCGUGAUUUAGAAGGCCUUCGGGUUGUAAAAAUCUUUUGUAUGGGAAGAAAAUGACAGUACCAUACGAAUAAGGACCGGCUAAUUACG